CAAGAAUACUGGAGUGGGUAGCCUAUCCCUUCUCCAGCAGAUCUUCCCAACCCAGGAAUCGAACCGGGGUCUCCUGCACUGCAGGCGGAUUUUUUACCAGCUGAACUACCAAAGAAGCCUGUGGUUCCUUACACUCCCCCUUUAUAGAACUGUCAACAUACUGCAGUUGAAUCGGCAGCUCUGCUAUGAGUUACUUCAUGUUUGCUCCCCCCCAACCACCACGCUGUCACAGAAGCUCCAAGAUUUGUCUCCCAUGUCCACCGCUGUCCCCUGGCACCCAGCACAGUGUCUGCCCUCGGAUCCACUCCCUACAUGUAUAGAGCAUGUGUGAAUGCAGUUUCCUGGCUAUGGGGCUUUUGACAAUAAUAAAAGACCCCAGGAGACUGCUGCUGGCUGUUUUCUGGAAAACCAGGAUCCGCUUGAAAGAAAGCAUCCAGGAAUCAAGCAGGGCCUUAGCUUGUUUUGCAUGGAUCGGAAUCAGAAUAUCACCACUAAGAAGGAAUUUAACCUAAUACUUAACCAAAAGAAGCAUCGCAUGUGCAGAAAUUGCUUUAAAGAGUUUGAGAAAAAUUCAAGAGAAGAAGAUGUUGCCACACAUGAAAACGAUGUGACAUUCACAUUUCAGUGUCCAUAGUAACGUCCAGGAUCACUCAUCUGCACAUUGUCUGUGGAGGUGCCUUCACACGAAACAGAGUUAAGUAAAUUGCAGCAGAGAGCUUGCCGGAUACAAAGCAGAACAUGUUCACUAGCCGGCCCUCUCCUGAAAAAGCUGGUUGGCUUCUUGUUCAGAGUAUGGUGACGUUUUAUAAAGCUAGAGUGUAGAACACUGUUCUCAGCACUUGGCAGAGUCAGUGUAUUAACGUUGGCUAUUUUUUCAUUCAUUUUAUCGUUUAUCCAUCAUAGGCGUAAGGCCCUGGGAACCAGCAGUGACCCAGCAGAUGCAGAACCCUUUUCUCAGAGCGUAGAGUCUGUGUCUAGAAUCUCUAAUAUAAAGAGUAUAAACGUGAGGCCGUCCUACUGCAUGUCCUGUGUGACUUGGUGGUCAGCCCCUGGCAUCCUGUCUCCCUUCCUCCUCUCACAGUGUAUCCUGAUUGCCCUGGUCCCUUCUAAGGGGAGAUGCCGGACUGGCCUCCUGGCGUCUUGAAGUGAGGUCAAGGUCUAGAAGUAUUCAUUUUGAAUUCCCUCAGUCUGGUUUCAACAUGCUCAAAACUCCAUCUUUGUGUUUCUAGCUCACGCUCUCCAGUGGACCCUAGAGGGCAAGGCAGCCGUGCCGGACGCCCCCCCACCCCAUCACAUGGAUGGGGGCAGCUGUCCAUCAUGGAGAAGGCUUCAGCCAUAGCUCCACAUGAAACCUCCCCAAUAAAACCAAAGCCACCUCCA
rnacentral:lncRNA from 1 species